rnacentral:rRNA from 1 species
GAUGAACGCUGGCGGCGUGCCUAAUACAUGCAAGUCGAGCGAACAGACGAGGAGCUUGCUCCUCUGACGUUAGCGGCGGACGGGUGAGUAACACGUGGAUAACCUACCUAUAAGACUGGGAUAACUUCGGGAAACCGGAGCUAAUACCGGAUAAUAUAUUGAACCGCAUGGUUCAAUAGUGAAAGACGGUUUUGCUGUCACUUAUAGAUGGAUCCGCGCCGCAUUAGCUAGUUGGUAAGGUAACGGCUUACCAAGGCGACGAUUCGGAGCCGACCUGAGAGGGUGAUCGGCCACACUGGAACUGAGACACGGUCCAGACUCCUACGGGAGGCAGCAGUAGGGAAUCUUCCGCAAUGGGCGAAAGCCUGACGGAGCAACGCCGCGUGAGUGAUGAAGGUCUUCGGAUCGUAAAACUCUGUUAUUAGGGAAGAACAAAUGUGUAAGUAACUAUGCACGUCUUGACGGUACCUAAUCAGAAAGCCACGGCUAACUACGUG